AUGCAUAAGGCAGCUACCAUGCAGUCGAGCGGUAACGUACAGUAGCUUGCUGCUCUGCUGACCAGCGGCGGACGGGUGAGUAAUGCUUGGGAAUGUACCUUAUGGUGGGGGACAACACUUGGAAACAACUGCUAAUACCCCUUAAUGUCUUCGAACCAAAGCGGGGGACCUUCGGGCCUCGCGCCAUAAUAUCAGCCCAGGUGGGAUUUCCUAGUUGGUGAGGUAAUGGCUCGCCAAGGCAACAAUCCCUACCUGGUUUGAAAGGAUAAUCGGCCCCACUGCGACUGAGACGCGGCCCAGACUCCUACGGGAGGCUGCAGGGGGGAAUAUUGCACAAUGGGCGCAAGCCUGAUGAAGCCCUGCCGCUUGUGUGAAUAAUGCCUUCGGGUUGAAAAGCACUUUCACUAAGGAGGAAAGGUUGGAUGUUUUUAUCAUUCCACUGUGACUUUACUUACAGAGGAACCACCGGUUAACUCUUUGCGAGCAGCCGGGGUAAUACGGAGGGUGCGAGCGUUAAUCGGAAUUACUGGGCGUAAAGCGCCCGAAGGCGGUUUGAUACUCCAGAUGUGAAAACCCCGGGCUCAUCCUGGAAACUGCAUUUCAAACUGGAAAUCUAUAGUGUGAUAGAGGGUGGUAGAAUUUCAGGUGUACCAGUGAAAUGCGUACAGAUCUGAAGGAAUACCGAUGGCGAGGGCACCCACCUGGAUCACCUUGACACUCAUGUACGAAAGCGUGGGGGAGCAAACAGGAUUAGAUACACGGGUAGUCAC
rnacentral:rRNA from 1 species